rnacentral:pre_miRNA from 1 species
AUGAUACUCCCUCCGUCCGGAAUUACUUGUCGUAGAAAUGGAUGUAUCUAGAUGUAUUUUAGUUCUAGAUACAUUCAUUUUUAAGACAAGUAAUUCCGAACGGAGGGAGUACUAG